UACAUGUCUUAUAUCGGGAUAUUAGCUUUUGGUCAUAUCGCACAGCCCUACCUCAAAGUAUAAAAAAACUCAUACCACUUCAUUGUAUGGGACUUUUUAAGAGUGUAGAUUGGUUUGGAUUGAGAUAAAUGAAUGGAGAUUCACCAAUGCAGGACGUGAUGGAACUCUGUACAGUAUAGACUUUGUUUGGUAAUUACUGUAUUCACUUAUUCUUAGGAAAAAUAUAACCAUGACAUGCAUGCUAUGUUAUAUGCAAAGCUCCGUGAGCUGCCGACGUGCCAGUUAGAUGCUCUAUAAAGCUGCAGUGUGUAAGCUUUGUCGUUAUUUCUUCGUCUGAGAUUCUGGGCUGUGGUGCAGCCACCCUCCUUUUAUAGAUCAAUACUGAGGCAGUGAGCUGACACAGUGAAAAGCAAUAUUCAUAAAUAAUGAACAGAGCACCCUUUCACCCUGCCCUGUCUGUCACUCCUGGGCAAGAAGAGAACAAAAGUAUAAACACAUGUAUUUAGCUUACAUUUUGCCAGACACUGCCUCAGUGUUGGUGACUGCAUUACGUGUUGGCACGCUUGCCUGCUUCCUUGUUCCGGGCUGAUGGUGUUAUACCUUUCGGUACAGAUUGUCUCUGAUGAUUGCAGAUAAAGCCUUUUGUGUUUGGAGUGUUUCAUUUCUCUCCUGAUGGGCCGUUUGUUUUUGGAUAGAUGGCAACCCGGUGAUUGAGGAAAGCUGCGCCAUUGAAUCACAGUGAGCUGUCUUAUGUAGUAUCAUUCCCAUCAACAGCCCAGAGAUGUGCCAGUGAGCACUGAUAACAGCUUUAAGUGCUUCAUCAUUUCUCUUUGCAGCAACUUUUCAUGUUAGGCACAGCUCGUACUUGGUCACAGCUGUACAUCAAAUGUGAUGCACCUCAUUGAAUAAACAGAUGGAACAGUUUUUACAUUUUUGCAGUAUUCCCACGAAAUGAGACUAACAGUCAUUUGUAGAGUGGAUCUGUACAUUGCUAAAUUAAGGGCUCUGUGGUGAAGUCUAGUUUGUACUACUUCAAGGUGUGUUGAAAUGCAAUACAAAAUGAAGGACAGAAUUGUUCUGCUUACACGGAAAAUAAAACUGCUCAGUGCACAAACUGAGAGUUGACAUUGGACACGAAGGCGAAGCGUCACCUCCUGCUAAAUAUUGAAGUAAAGUCUGUUCAGUGCGUAGCUGUGUGCGUUUUAUAUAACAAUGAGAGUCUGCUGAUGCUGCCAUACUUGUUUUGAUUUCACUAAUCAACCACAAGAAGGCAGGUAGGGGAAUGAAUACAGGAAUGGUCCACAGCAUGCUUAUGGUGAUGUAAUACAUGUGUGACUGCUUUGACCGAGGCACCAAAAAUGGCGCAAUCUUUUGGUUACAGCUUUGCUGGUUGUUGUGUUAACGAUGAUGAUGAUGAUGAUUUGAGAGAAGAAAACUUCCACUUGAGGAUAUUGACCACACAAGCACAUUUACAUCGGAUUAAAAUUGAAAUGACACCAAAACUCAACAAAAGCAUUAGUAGUCAUUGGUUAUAACUGAGGUUGGCUGGGGAGAUCGAGUGUCAUGAAUUUGUAUUUUCUUCCUGCUGGGUUUUAAUAUGAAACUCAUAAAACCCAUUCUCAUUUCUUCCAAGAGUGCAGCCUUUGCAUAUUAUUUGUCGUUACUGAAUAUGAAAUGUAAUUUUUAUGGCUACAUAUUUUUUCACUUUCUUUCAUUACAGUUUCCUGCUAGUGAUUGUACCAAAUGUUAGGUGUUGGUUAUGAGACAGAGCUGAGAUCUGCUGGUAAAUAUGAACAAUAGCUGUCUCUUUUUGCUUUUACUAAGCUAAAAACACAGAAGCCCUCCGACAACAAGGGUCACAGCUCUCUCUGUUUUCGGACAUGGCUGAGGCCCUUUAAUAUCUGUUCUGAGUCUGUGCUGGGCAUCAGUGCCAUCCUCUAUGGCACAGGUGUUGAACUCCAGGCCUCUAGGGCCGGUGUCCUGCAGGGUUUAGAUGCGUCCUUGAUCCAACACAGCUGAUUUAACUGACUAAAUUACCUCUUCAACAUAUCUUUAAGUUCUCCAGAAGCCUGGUAAUGACCUGAUCACUUGACUCAGGUGUGUUGACCCAGGGUGAAAUCUAAAACCUGCAGGACACCGGCCCUCGAGGCCUGGAGUUCGACACCCCUGCUCUAUGGUGUAGUGUUAUGGGGCAGUAGACUGAGAAUAGCAAAGAGAAACCUGCUUUACGAACUCACCAGGAUCACCUGUAACAUUGUAGGUGUAGAGCUUGAUUCUCUGGCGGUGGUGUUGGAAAGCUUUGAAUAUCAGGAAGUACUUCAUGUGCUGAGUCACAUGCCAAGGGCAUGGCCUGGUCCAUCCCUAACACGUUUGACAACUUAAAACUGUUUUUCUGUCUUUCUUUCUUUUUCUCUUUUUUUUUAAAUUUUGAAACUUCCUAUCUUAUGUAGCAAAGCUGUUUACUCCUGGGAUUCAUAAAAUAUUCAGAUUCAAAAAUCCCCACCAAUAUAUAAACGUUUGAGAGGUCCAGUUCAGUUCCUCUAAUUAGCUGAUGUGAAGCUUGGACAGCUAUGGGCUGCAGUAGCCUGUGUUGACAUAUGUUGGCACUUAAUUAAGCAUAACUACUCUUGGUGGUCAUUAUUAGCAUAUUCUUGGCUUGACAAAUUUCUCCCUCUUUCACUGUCUUUGAUGUUGGUGAUUUCUAGUUGUAUAACACUGUGUGCCAUUAAUAGAAAGCUAUUGUUGGUCCUUCAAAAGGGGCCCAGUCUCAUUUUAUUGUGCAUCUGUCUUUGUCUUGCUGUUCAUCCCGCCCCUCCCAUUCGUUGUUUUUCCCACUUUCAAGGAGCUCAGGCUUUAUGAGCUCUGAUAACUAUUAGCUUGAGUGCUGAAUAAUGUGCAGGUUGUCCCUCAGCACAGAUUCCACAGGUUGAGCAUCUGUGAUGAGGUGAGCGGGGAAUGUGUGGGUUCAACAAAGCUGGGACAUGAGACACAAGGGAAUUAAAAAGGAUGUAUAUUGAAGAUGCUGCAGGUGUUUAAGCUAGCACAUGUGCAGGUGGCAUGUGCCAUGUAAAACUGUGCUCUAUUAGUUGCUCCAUUACAAGCUUAAUAACUAAAUUACUGCAGUGGAGCAAAAUAACAACAGAUUGCAGAGUUCCUCUUUAGUUUUUCUUCAUCAGUUAAAGUAACUGUCACACUGAAGAUUUUCAGCUCUUUAUUUCCUUGAUUGUUACAGUGAUCAUCAGCAGCAAGCUGACCACAGUUACAGUUUAUCACCAUAAUAAUCCUGCCUCCACUGUUAUUGUCUCCUAAACGCUGGACCCCUCCCCCACUGCAUCCUGACUGUAUCCUGCUUAUCAGUCCUCCUGGUGCUUGCUGAGUGGCUUGGAUUUCUUAUAAUAUUCAGUCCACUGCUUCCUCAAUUAAUGAAGCAACUCGGAGCUCGAAUGUCAUAUGAGGAAAAACAUUUUAAUCGGCAAGUUGGAGGAGCUCAGUCUGAGUGGCUUACCGCUGGAGGAGGAGGUGGUGGUGGGGUGCACAGUGGUGGCAACAGCCUUGUCGGGGAUAGCAUCCUCAUUGCACAGCAGUCGAAGGCAGUGAAGGGAAUGGAAAGAAACGGAUGGAAAUUGUGAGAGACAGAGGGGAGUAGUGUCAGACACUGCGUCCGGUGUAUUAUUUGCAGCCAAAAGAAGGUGUUCUGUGGAUGGAAGUGAGUUUGGCCAAAAAAAAAAAAAAAAGAAAGGGGGAGGGAGACUAGAGCAGGAGGCGUGUUGUUCAGAGAUAGAAGUACAGCAGAGGGAGUGGAGUAAGUGGGAAGCAAUCACAAGGGAAAUGGACCGACAAACUGUACUUCCCAACUCAAGUACCUUCACAGUGGAUUAAGGUGAGCCGCAGCAUCUGUAUUUUUACUAAAACCAGCCUUAUCUCUGGCGGGAGUACCUGUGGAUUAGUGCCAUGUGGAACACAGUACAGCAAAGGCAUCAGCUUUGAGGACAACUGAGGGGAUUCAGAAAGGACCAGGAAGUGGCUGCGGCUCACAGCUAGUCUCUUUUCUCCACACCCCAGAACAGCCAGGCUACUAAUGAGCAAGUCGAUGUGUGGCUGUGGCUGCAGCAUCAUCUCCUCUCUGAUGAAGAGACUGGGCCGCACAGCUUGCUGCUCAGAUCUCCUCUCCUGCAGCCACACUUCAGAACAGCUGCAGCGACUGGCCACUGCCUGCCCACCUCGACCAAAGAAUGUCAAACCCUUCUCCUCCUCAGACAGCCUAGCGAAGGUCCAGGAGGUAGCAAGCUGGCUUUUGGAAAUGAACCAGGAACUGCUGUCGGGGGGCAGCAGCAGCAGCGGCGGGCGGAGUCGGGGGCCUGGGGGCCCGGCAGUGCGAGGUAACGCCUCCUCCACGGCUCGGGCACCCCAGCAGGCGGCAGAGGAGGGCGAUGAGGAUGAACACAUGAACAGGGUGGUUGAGGAGGAAGAGCAGCUGCCGCAGAGGCCCGAGGCGUCGCAGGUUGAUGGCGAGCGAGAACAACCAUGGGCGCCGAGCGAGUCCGGAGCCAGCGACGGCCCUCGGGAGGACGGGGAAGGGGAGGAAGACGAAGAGGGCCUGCCAAACGGCGUGAACGGAGGUGACAAAGGAGCCCGAUGGAUGUGGGGGGCAGAGCAGCGACGACUGCGAGGGCAGCCGCUUGCUGCUGAAGAGGAGGAAGAGGAAGAGGAGGAGAACAACAAUAGCAGCACCCACCAAGAGGAGGAGGAGGAGACAGAGGAGAGGACAGAGGGAGGGGAGGAGCAGGGGAGGGAAGAGGAGGAGCGGGAAGAGGGUGAGGAGGAGGAAGAGGAGGAUGAGGAAGAGAUGGACCAAGACAGUGAUGACUUUGAACAUUCAGCGGAGAGCGGGAGGGAGGAGGAAGAGGAGGAAGGCUCUCUCUCUCUCAGGAACAGUGUGUCUGCCCCUAAUAAUAAUGAGGACUCGGGAUGUACACGCCAAAGCUCUUCCAACAAAAAGGUAAGCAAAGCUAUUUGUAUUGAACAGUUUACACUGGAACUGCUUUCCAGUGACGAAAGUAGUUCCAGUGUAAACUGUUUAAAUGUGUGCGGGAUAUUUUUCGGUGCUGUGAGCAUCACCAUUAAGGAUGUCGCUGCAACUCCAGAAAAACUUAUUGUUUAUAUCAUUUAUACAUCUCUGUGUGAAACUGUUGAAUGUGUUUCACUUGCGCCUACGUGGUCCAUAUUUAAGAUGGUAGCACCCUCUUGUGGAAAACGCUUGUUAUUGCAGGAGCUGAACCAUCUGCUUGGAAAUAAUUGGAUACUGGAACUGCAUUAUAUAUUUGGAAGGACAAGUAAACAUUGUUGAAAAAUUAUAAAGAUGAACCUGAAUGGCUGAGAUGAAAAGUAUAAAAGCAUUGUUUUAAGUAAGUGCUGGAAUUGCAUUUGUUAAUGGCAGUUUUGGCUCAAGACUGAGUUGAUUCAGAAGAGAAAACAGCUGGGAUUUGGGUUUAAAUCUGUUCAUGGUCUGAUGUGUCUGGAAGACUUGAAGGCACGUUUUCCCCGUACUCAUAAGUACACCAGAUAGCCCCACCUUUUGCUAUAGCAUAGACCAGGGGUGUCAAACAUAAGGUAAACGCACAAACAUAAGGAAGUUUCACCGGCCCAGCCCGCAUAAGGUCACAGGGAGCUGUAUGUGGCUCAUGACAUAAACUUUGCCAUCCCCGACAGUAGAGUGGACCCUCCUUGCCACUCAGUGCUGGCAGAGUAAUGAUAGAGUGCUGAGAGUUUUCCUUAUAGUGACUGCUCACUCAUAUCAAUUGCUGAACUUUUAUGAAAAUCCUGACACGUCAGUACCUGCAGGUGCAAAUUAAAGGUUACUGCAAAGAAUACGGCUUUGUGCCUCUCAAACAUUGUCACCCUGUUGGAAGUUGUUUCUUCGAGGGUGGCAGAGCUCACCAUAUAUUUGGAAAUGAUGUGAAUCUUCAGUGUUCAAAUCAACUGAACACUAGAGCGAGAUCAUGUGGCGACAUGCUCGUCACAACAGCUCAUAACGGCUACUCCGCGCUUGCAAGUUUGAGUGACAAGUCCUGCCUUGAACUGCAUGAUUACAAUCAAUGUAAAGGUGGCUGCUAAUGCUUGUGAAGCUUGUUGCGACUUGAGGAAACUGAUGCGAAGACUCUCCUGAAAUAUGUGGAGAAGAACUGUUUAAAAAGAGCAAAGUCGCUGAUUCUUUCUGUUGUGACUUAGAUAAAAUGCUCAUACUGGAGAUGCGUAUUUACUAGUGUACUAGUCUUUGCUUGAUACAGUCUGAUACUUUACUGAGACUUUUCAUGGUAUUUUUUUUCUCCCCUGUGUCGCACAUGCAUACUAAUUUUGUCAUGACAGGUUAAUCCUGAGCAUAAAUAUUAAAAGAAAGCACCAUUUCCUUUCUCUGCUUUAGCUCUACUCCAGGAACAUUUUGUACUGGCUUUUGCAGUAAAAUAAUAACCGCGUACUACACACGCCCACAGCCUGCUCCCGGAGACAGUAUUUCAUUCAUAUGUGCAAUAUCCAGGCGCUGUUUUAGGAGCUGGUAAAAGCACCUUCAUGCCUCACUGAUUGAUGUCUGACAUGAUGUGUAAUGAUUGUAGCUGGAAGCGAGGCAGCGCUUGAUGUUCUAAAACUAAUUCAAAAGGCUCUGAUGCACCAGUGCUUCAACAGUAACGCUGGUGUCUUGUUUCAGUGAUGAGUCUUUCAGUGUGGCCUUCACAGCACCUAUAUUUAAAAGCCAGAAAUCGAGCUGGUUGGGAAGUUUUCGAGAGGCUCAGCGUGACAAUCAUAUUUUUGUUUAGCAAUUUGGAUGGAACGAGCAAAGUAGUAAAUCUGUGGCUGACAACUUUUAGUACCAAAGGCUUAGUAAGUGUUUAGGUCUCCAUCCAAAUGUCAUUGUUUAACAGUCUCUGUACAUGGCAGAUACUAACAACAUAUUUUCACUUUGCACAUAUUUGUUGUGUAUAUUUAAAUUUUGAGCAUCUUAAUCCAAUAUUUGUCUAGUUCUUAGUCCCGUUUUGGCAGACAUCCUGAGACUUCAUUGGCCACUUAUUUUAGGCAUUAUCUAAUUUAACUUUAAUAUCACGGGGUCAUGAAAAUACAUAUCCCCCCACCCCGGAAAUUAAACUUCUACCACAAAUCUCCCUUAUGUUUGUUUUAACUUUGACUUAUAAUUUCCAUUGGCUGUCCAACGUUUGAUACUAUUUUGUCAGAUUAUUCCUUCCUUUUUUAAUAUACUCUUGGAGCAAUGUGGAGGACUUAAGAGGAAAGUUCUCAUCUCAGCAGUGACUGAAGUUAUGGAUUUUUCAAUAGCUCUGCAGUCUUUGCUGUUUUGCUCUCUAAAAUCUCUUUGAGCAAUACUUUCAAGAAGUUUUAGUAUAGAUGUUGAAGAGCAUGUGGCAUUGUUUCCUGUGUGUCAUACCAGAGAGUCUGUGUAGUGUGAGGUUUAGUGUGAGAGGCUUUGAUGCUGAUUUUGUCCUUGCUUAUAUUAUCUUAAAUAUAGCCAUUAGCCUGAAUUUGCUCCCCCUGUGCCUCUCACUAUCUGACACAGCUGUCAGAUAUGUUUUUCAGGGUCUCAGUCAGUGUAGUGGGCCAGCUGGCUUUGAUGUUGAUGAACACAUUUAUUUCAGCUGUGGAUGCUGUAUGCUUGGAAUUAGGAGGUGGUGCAGGAGGACUGCUUUGACAUUUAUCAUUAGUUCAAGUGAGAAGGUGAAGCUCAGAAGAAGAAGCUUGUGUAAGUCAUUCAUCACAGUCACACAUGUAUUGUUACUGAGCUGAAUUGAGUUUUAUUUGAUACCCGAGGAGCAACCCCCCCACCCUCAAAAAAACCUUGAAAACUUAAUUUCAGAACUCUGUGGAUACAAUAUUAAAAAACUGAUGUGAUCAGAGGAGUAAAAUAGAAACACGUCAUGAUAUAUGUGGUAAAAUAACAAAGGUGGGUAGGAGGAACAAAGAUGUAAAUGCAGAACACAAAGAAAGGAGCUGGGUUGUAAAAAUAACCACAUUAGCUUAGGUUUGAAAGCAGAGCGACUGUGAUACAGGGAUAGAACUGGUUCCGGUGCUUUAAGACUAUUCCUACCAGUCCAUUCACCUUUGUUUCGCACUGAGCACAUUGUGAAAAUAUGUGAACUUGUUGUCUAAUGUAAAUGCUCAUUGCCCGGGUUGCGAUUCUGCAGAAAAUUUUUUUUGCUUUCCAGGGCAUGGGUCGCAGGGGCAGGCAACAGGCUAAGCAAGGAUGCCCAGACCUCCUACCUCCUCCAGCUUAUCCAGGGGAACACAGAGGCAUUCCCAGAGAUGUAAUCUCUCCAGCAUAUCCUGGGUCUGCAGUGGGAUAUGCCCUAAACACCUUACCCAGGAGCCAUUCUUGCUUUCUUUCAUUGUGCAGUAGCAGCAGUACUACUCUAUGCCCGGAUGGCUGAGCUCCUCACCCUGUCUCUUGAGUGAGAAGGCAGCAACCCUUUAGAGCAGGGCUGGGGGACUUACAGGCCUCAAGGGCCGGUGUCCUGCAGGUUUUAGAUGCGUCUUUGAUCCAACACAGCUGAUUUAAAUGGCUAAAUAAGCUCCUUGAAGGUCCUAGCUCCUAUGAACUAAUCAUUUAAUUCAGGUGUGUUGACCCAGGGUGAUAUCUAAAACAUGCAGGACACUGGUCCUUGAGGCCUGGACUUCCCCACCCCUGCUUUAGAGAAAGCUCAUUUCCUCCUCCACUUGUAUCGACCUCGUUCUUUUAGACACUGACAAAAGAAGUCGGGACCAUAGGUGAGGAUAGGGACGUAUAUCGACCAGUAAAUCUAGAGCUUCACUUUUAUACUUGGCUUUGUUUACGGCAGUAGACUGAUGCAGCGUCACUACAGCCGCAGCCCCAGCCCAUCUGUUUCCUGCUCCCAUCAAUUGUGAUGAUACUCAAACAUAAAGCGAUGAUCAACUAAAUUACAAUAGGAAGACUGAGAUUCUGGAGAGUUAGCAGCAUGAGAAGUUAGCAGCAGGUGGUUUCACGGUUUGAUCCAGGAGCUGAAGCUGUGUCACAGCUGUUCUAGAGCAUAAUUCAGGAUGUCAGAGGUGCAGAGUUAGGACCACAUCUGAGGAGUCAGAGUAAUAAUUUCAGAAAGCUGAAAAAAUGGUACUUAUCAUUUAUGUAGUCAGUACUGCAGCGCGGUUUGAGCUACGAUGGCACUGUAUUUAUAUUAGGUUACGUUUAUAUGCAGCUGUAAAAUGGAGCAAAGUUUAGCAAAGAAGAAAAAUAAAUGCCUAAGAAAUUGCACAGCUGCUAUGUACAACUGCAUUAAGAUUAGGUGAGUAGAAACCACAUUAAAAAUUCAGACAGAAUUUAUGCGUCUGGUGUGGUCCACUGUUUCCGAUACGAUACGAUAGAACUUUAUUAAUCCCUCGGGUGGGUUCCUCUGGGAAAUUCGACUUCCAAAAAAAGCACAGCAACAACCGAAGUUACAGUUACAGUUCCAUACAGGAAGGAGGUCCAUGUUUUCAAACCCUGGUCUUUUUGUGUAGAGAUUGCGCAUGGAAAGGCGGGGGGGUCCUGCAGUCCACUUACAUGCAUACUAAGUUAACUGGUGAUUGGCAUUAGUUGUAAACAUGAGCACAAUUUUGAGCCAUGUGGGUAAGCUGUAAACCUUUAAAUAUGAUGAUGAGCUGAGAAAGAGGAUGGAUAGCAGUUGAGUAGUCAGUAGACAAAAGGCAUUGGAUCUUGACUUGAACUUUUGAUCUCUAUGGGUACUGCAGCUAAUUUACACGUUACCCUAAUAGUCACCAAAGUUAGGAUAUAAAGACCAAAUCUACCAGAUGCUUUUUAGGUGUUCAUUUCUCCAUCUCUCUGCUGUAGAGCCAGCAAACACAAAGUGAUACUAUCUCACAUAAACUGCCUCACUGCUUCACCCCUUUCUGAGUUAGUCUCCAAAAAUUCGAGAGCUGCAGGUGCACCUACGAGCAAAAAUGUUUCCUUCCGUCUCAUUCUUCACACCCACGCUUUUUGAAGUUGAUCACAUCAAGUUACCAUGGCGACUUUGUGCUGAUGCACUACUCGGCCCCCUCAUUGCUGCUUGAGCUAUAUUUGAAUUUAUUCUCUUAUUUAAAGUGACCAGCAGCCCGUCCGUGUCUAUUUACUGAGUCAUUCAUUCUUAAAAUAAUUCAGGUUGGUUUUAAAGACUCCAUGGAGACAAAUAUUUCACUUGAAAUAUAAAUCUGUUAAUUUGGACUAUUUACGAACUAUAGGAGAAUAUAUAUUUGCAAUCUGUGAUGUUCGUUCAUUUAAAGCUUAGAAAUAUUUUACCACGUUGGAGAACCAGAGUUAAUGUGCUUGAUUAGAGCUUGAGAACCUGAUAUUACAUGACAGCAUGGUUUGUUCCUGUAGUUCGGAUAGAAAAUGUGCAGUUCUGAUGAUACAUGUGUGUCAACAGUGGAAGAUCAGCACGUGUGUGGUUGGGUCAUGUUGCUAAAGUUUGCAAACUUAAAAAUCUAUAAUAUAUAUAGAUGUAUGAAAGUUCAAGCAGCUCUGUAAAAUUCUAAAGUUGAAAAAUAUUCCGCACUCUGCAUGUCCCGGCAUGUCCUGUGUGCACAGAUUGUGUUCCCAGGUUCCAGGUGCCGUAGGCUCAAGUCGCCCAAAUGAGAAUCUUCACCCUCUCCUCUUACUCAACACUCCCAUCUUGUGAUCUUGUGCGAACAAGGUGAGACUUCGGGUCAUGCUCAUCAGUUGACCUUCUAAAUACAUCAAGAGCCUUAUGAAUCUAGAUACUGGCUGCGCAUUAAGAUUGCUGAAGGUCUAAAGAGCAAAGAUGGUCUGGAUUCAACUGAAAACGUAACUCAGAUUUACAUUUUAAACACACUCCUUCCUGUUCAAAGGUAUGUGAACUAAAAGGGCAUGCAGAACAUAUGUUCAUGUAUUAAAUAACUUAAAUGAAUAUAUGGUGUUGGGGUAACAUGAUCCCGCUUGGCUGUAGCAGGUGCAUCUCAGUACAAUGUCUCAUAUAAAUUAGUCGAUGGGAAGGCGGUUUAUAAAAAUAAAUGUUUAAGGAUAUUUUAAUUUGGCACUACAGGUUUAUUACAAUAGUUUUUAACAGGUAAAAGGUCAAGGUACAAAUAAAAAUGGUUUGUUUUACUGUUUCCUUUCUCUGCAGAAGGAUCUAUUAUAUCUACUACUGUAAGUCUUGAAUUUGAAACCCUUUGAUGCAAAUCAGCAUCACAAAAACAAACAUUAAAUGUUUUACGGUAUUUUAAGAAUACAAUUCAAAUGGGAAGGCGCAUCGCCAAAAUCUGAAAGCAAAAUCCAGUUAAAUUGCAUCUUAAUUACACUUUUAAACAGUUUUUAAAUAAGCAGGAACAUAAUAUACCCAUUUUGUUCUCACUACAGUACACUGCUGCCUGUCCGUCUUAGAAUUAAUUUUAAUAUAUGACUCAUGAAUAAGGCAUUAUGUGAUCUUACAGGAUUAGAUGUCUCAUCAUGACUCAUCAGAGACCUUUGGUGGCAAGUGGAUCUGCAGAGCCACAAUAAGGCAAAACAGGAAGGUGCGAUAAGGGGAGAGGGUACCGACCUCCACUGUGAUAGAAUAAAGUAUUGAAUUAUUUGGAUUCAAAGAAGAUGGAAAUAAACUGUCAGUGCCGUUAUGUGCAGGUCCGUUAAAUAAUUUUGCCUUAACUUAAAAAAAAAAAAAGGGGGGGGGGGAAGAAACUACUGUACGUUAUCCCGACCACAGUCCAGCUGUCUGGGUAAUAAGUUGGAUGAAAUCUGCAUAAAUUUACAUCUGAGGAUAAAGGUGGGUGGGGAACUUGUUUGAAAAUCUGAGAAGCUAUCAGAAGAAAAAAAAGGAAUAAUAUCUCAGCUACAAUGGAUGAUACAGAGAUGAAUCAAAGUCGAGCAAACUCUUUCAGAAACCCCAUAAUUGGAUUUUCUUUAUCUUUGUGAGUAAUUACAAAAGGACAUGUUAGGAGCUGCGUCUGCUCAUGACUUUGGUGGCAUUGACUCCAGUCAGGUCGAAAUAUUUCUCACGGUAUCCCCGUUUCCAUAAGAACGUAUUUAAAUCUGUAUUUAUGAAUAGCACGAUGACGAAUGCUUAAAUUCAUAAUGUGCAUUAAACUGCAGUCGGCUCUGUACACAAGCAAAGUUUUUAUAUUGUUUUAGAUGGAAUGACUAAUAACUUCUUAGCAAACUUGGAACAAUUUAUCUCACACACACACACACACAACACACACACACACACACACACACACACACACACACACACACACACACACACACACCUAUUCGCUGCCACCAAUUAAAUAUAUUUCCAAAGAGAAGGCAGAUGUAGGUGGCAUCUCCCACACACUGGCCUUAUCACACAGGCAGGAAUGAGCCACAAAGGACCAGUGUUCUCAGCCUCCCACAUGAAAGCAACUAGUUUGAGUCAUUACCGAUAUAUAUUGAUGACGAUUUACUUUCACAGAGGCCCUCAUUAUAAACUAAUACACCUCCACUGGCCUACUGAAUUGUUCUUUUUGUGUGUGCGCGCGCGCGUGUGUGUGUGUGUGUGUCUACACAAAUAACACAGAUAACUCUAUUUCAAAAAUAGUUUAGUUUGGCUAAUUAAGGUAGUUAACUCCUGCUCUGAUAAUUAACCAAUUCUCACGUUGCACCUUUCUGAAGCAUUCCUGGCAUUCAUUACAGCCACCUUCAGCUGAUUCUUGUUUUGGGGUUACUCUGCAUAUAACUUCCAGGUUAUGUAUUCUCAUUUUCUUCAUGCAGGUCUUUUUGCGAGCUGGACUUCUGUUUUGUUUUUGUUUUUUAACCUGGGCUUUCUUGAGCCCCUAUUUGAACAUACCCAAACCUACCACAGCAAGUCACUGUUUCAGCAAUAUAAAACUCUCAGUUGCUUCCCAUUAACUAACAGUUUCAUUCUUGCAGCUCAAUAAGAGAAUUUAACUUUCAUUUUUAUUCACCCCUCUCUUAUUGAGGGGUGUUUAUACGGUUUAUCCCAAAGUCAAGGGUAUUCCUGAAAGUUCAAGUAACAAAACAAAUAUUAAGUAACCGGCUUAACUUAAAUAUAUAUAUUGCUGUGUAGCUCAAUAAAAUAAAAAACAAUGAAUAUCUGAUAUUAAAAUCACUAGUAAUGGAAAUUUUUAAUAAACGACAAAAUAAAAUAAUCAAAAAUCAAGAAAGGAAAAACAGAAUAUGAAGUGGCUUACUCAGUGCAGUACAAACAGCAUAGCAAAUAUCAGAUGAUGUAUAGUUUAGUGUACUAGUGUACUGCAGGGUUGAAACAAGCACCUACAAAACCCAGUUCUUAGUUGAAGAUCAUGUAAGCAGUGCGUUGUAUCACAAAAGAUUUUAGAUGUAGCUUUUUCAGUGCAGCAUAUUUGUCCCAGACCUUCACACCAGAGGGAGGCAGUGAUGUGAGGGGUCAUGUUCAUACACAAUCCAGGUGGUGGUUGGCUUUCGGCGGCUCAGCUCAGAUUGCCGAUGCAGAGGAGCAGAAAGAGUGAUGUAGUCCCCCCCUCCAGAAACUUUCACUUUAAUCAUUUAUAUGUACCAUGGAGGUGUUUAAAGAUAAUAGCAGAGUGCUGCCUUUAUCCAUUUCAUUAUAUAUUAUAGUUUUGGAAUACCUUGAUAUUAUUAUCGUUUAACUAAUUUAAGGCUGAUGGGUAUUCUGUCAUUAUCACACAGUAUAAAUAUAUUUCAUCUAUAUUUCAUCUGAGUCUGGAGAGAUUUACUUUUCACAAUCACCUCAAGUUCUCCAAAACUGCUGUGAUGGGCUAUGAAGGUAGUUUGGCAGCAUUUAAGCAGAAUUUAUGCUCUGCCCGAACCAGUUUAAUAGCCGGACCAAUGAGUACUACUCAUGAAUCUGAAGGGGUUCCUCGGACCAUGUCAUUGCUUGGCUCCUUUUCCAGGAGCAGUUGAAAAUAAAGAAAAUAAUGACCUGGCGCUCCCACUCUUUGCCCCUCACACACAACCCACGUUUUUAUCCCGUCACAUCAGUCACUUUGAAAAGCUGGGAGUGACCCGUGUAAUGAUGUUGAGUUACUCCAAGCCAAACAUUCUUGGCCUCUGGCCUCCAGUAGUCUUUUCAGGGAUUGCAACCCCUCUGACCCCUUAGUAACAGUGAGGCAAAGUAAUUUAAAAAAAGAAAAAAGGAGAGAUAAAUGUUUGUAAUAGGCCAUGACAUAUUGUCGGUAUCUAUUAGAAUGGUAUGAGGUUUCUUUUAAUUGUUCCUGUUUGGCUAACUCUUGAUUAUUUUUAAGCUUGUGGGAUGCAUUUUUUGCCCUUUUAUGAUGGUGCAUAACCCCAGGCCACUUUCCACCCCAUAGCAAACUGUGGGAACUUAAAAUGCAUUUUUCACUGGAAGCAUAAUCUUUAGGUUUCUUGGUCGUGGACAAAGCAAAUUGAUAUUUACUGAUAGUGUUCAGGGUUUUUGGAUUAUGUGAAAUUGUUCUAUAAUGAAAGAAGAACAAGCAAAAAACAACACCUGCAUGACUUGCAGUUUAACAACUUACUUUGGGGUGAUCAUGUUGUAGCAGACUGGAAUAGCGUGUCUUUCACAUAGCUUGUUGACCUAAGAUUAGUCUGAAAGCUCAAGUAACCUACACAAGGCCUGAACCAUAUCAGAAAAAAGCGGCCGCUCACUGGUGCCUCACUGGUUAGGACACAUUGGAUGUGGACUAAUAGUAGUGGUUAUUUUCUCUAUGGGAAAACUAAAUGGUCCCGUUCAUCAUUUCAGAUAAGUUGAAAAAUGGGGCAUCCAUCUUUUCAGAGUAGUCAAUAGUCAUCAGACAAUUUUAUUUUGUGCAUAUGUGUAAGGCGACACUCUGUAUCUCUUGUCUCAGAGGAUUGGUGCGCCCGUGUCUUGGCACACCAAGCUGAACUUGGAUGCCUUGUGCCAACAAACAAUUGACUGAGCUUUUAACAGGCAACAUUAGUUGUUUUGGAGUAUAGCAGAUUUUUUUUUUGUUGUUGUUGUUUUUUUACAUUUUUAUUUUGUUGUUUAUUUUACAUCACAUUUCCUCAAUUUGAGUAUUCACCUAGUCUCUCUUUGACUUUUGAGGACAACAUAAAAAAACAAGUCUUUGUUUCUCUGCACGGGCUGCAACCUGCAUAACUGAAGAGACAGAUUUUAUUGGGAUUUGUCUCCAUUUGCAGUCUACUGGUACUUUCAGUUGUUGACGUGUUGGAGGUUGUCAUUCAUCUGCCUUGUUAGCCAUUAUACUUUUCGCUGAAAACCAGUUGUUCCGAAGAGCUUAGACAAUUUCCUGUUUCCACUGUGAUGAUACAUCCUCUGGACAGGACCUCUUGAUUGGAAACUUGUUGCAAUCAUCUGAUGAUCAUGAUCAGCCUGAGUGAUUGUUAGUGGAAGACCUCAGUCCUCUAGGCUUGCCCAGAUCUCACUGUCAGAGGUGUAUAGGAAGCACCACAGCUUUAUAGAGUGCUUGCUUUGUUUUUCUUGAUGUCCAGACCUUCUCCAACAUCUAUUUGGCUGUAGCUCCAGAGCUGACGCCACCUAGAAAUGCAAGUUUGUGUUGGAUGACCAUGGUUUUUGGUUGACAACAGGCACCAUUUCUUGCCUCAAGUGUUUAGGGAGUGAGUGACAGGCUGGAGGAUGAUGCACCAACUGGAGGGUGGUGGUCGGUCUUAUUCCUGGGGUUCCUAGUUGUGAUCAGUUGACCUAUAGGAAAAAAAAUAGCGUUUUUUUUUUUUUUUUGUUUUUUAUUUAUUUAUUUUAUUUAUUAACGAUACCUUGAAUCUAUUGAAUGUGGUCGCCAUUGUUAGUCCAGCAGGUUCAGUUGCUUGUUCCAACUGUGCUAAACAUACUGUUAAAAGCCAUGGGUGUUGGUCUGCCUACAACACUCAAUGGCGUCCAGCGGCUGACUGUCAGAGUGGUGUGUCGGGGUCCUCGGCGUACUGUCGGAUGCUCAGGCCCUGUAAUCCUCCUCAAACAAUAGUGGAUGUGAGAAUAGAAGGGAGGUUAAGCCCUGUAGGUCUUUUGUUACCAUGUGCUCGGGCAUUUAAAUGCACAGAGGGAUAGUUGUGUUUUGCCACUCACUCGAACUGGAGAUUCAUUUGUAUUCGCUGCCAAUUAUGAAAGGUUUUUUCUGCUGCAUAUUAAUUUUCUUUUUUGUAAGUUGGCAUAAAAGCGUACGUAGAGAAUGUACAUAUCCAUUUUUUCUGCCCCUUCUCUCGUUCUGCCAUUUGGACCUUCACAUCACUAUUCCUUUACAUCUCUGACACUGUGUUCGUGUGGUGCACGGUUUAAUUAAAAACCAUCGCAUCCUGCUGCUGCUUCUUUCAUAGCUUCAUGUGAAAACACAUGCACUAGACUUCAAAGUGCAUCCCUCACUGAUUAAGUGAAUUCUUGUUUAAAUGCAUGUGUCACGGAUACUGACGUUGGACAGCUGUGUCGCCUCCCGAAAUAUCCUCAGCCUCUUUGCUGACAAAGUUACUGACAUUCCCUAACAUCGCGGUUCAGGGAUGAACCAGAGAAGGUUGGUGUAAAACAAAUCCUUCCUUCCAAAGGCAUGUUGACAUCUGAUUCCAAUAAAGACAUGUUGUUGUUUUUUUGUCGUAUGCUGACAAUUUUUGUGUGUUCAAGUUAAAUGGGCUAAAUGAUGAUGUAGGCCACAGAGGUAGGAGGACCAGGAGGGGCUCAGAAUGACUACAAUGAGGAAGUUCCCUGGAUACACGUGCUGCAACAGACGACUCUUGGUACACAUUCCACCACAGAGGGGUCAUGAGAGCAGAUUCCACGGUGCCUGUCUGAGGGGGGAGAGGCUGCUGGGUCCAUCCUCUUUUCAGGCCCCGACAGCAGCUGCUCUGCCUGGCUUGGGCGCAACAGUGACCUCACACCCCGGAGAUAUUUUAAAGGGUGCCAGUCAGCAUGAGCUCUGAGUAGGUAGGAGCUCGACAAGUGCAGUUUUAACACAUCUGCUGCACAAUGUUCGAGAGAUCCGAGGGAGAUCCAGCAGUGGUGUAAGAAAAAGUAUCUACUUGCAAGUUGGUCGGUUUUCAGAGCCCCUUAGUGGGAAAUGAUCCGUUAGACAUCUCUUUCUUUCCUUUUCUGUUUCUUGUUUCUUGCAAUGCUGCGGCAUUGCCCUAUUCCCCGUUUCUCGUCAUCCGGCGCUCAGAGAAAGAUGCCGAAUGUUUCCUGUAACAAAGACAAGACUCUACACGUCCCGCCAGAGAGCCAGGCACUCAACCCGGCUGAUUCUAAAGACAUCGCCACGGAAUCACUACCUCCUCAGAAAGUACUCAAGAUAUUCAGCAUCAACAUCAUUGCUCAGGGUUUGCCUUUCUAUCGUAGACGGGUGAG